GCCACCUUAGCUCAGUUGGCCAGAGCGGCUGUUUUGUAAACAGCGGGUCGUGGGUUCGAAUCCCUCAGGUGGCUCCA
rnacentral:tRNA from 1 species